GCCUUCUUUGUCAAGGGGAGCUUGAUGAGUCAAUGAGCGUAUAGCGAGGCCAUCUUUGCUGAAACCCUUUAAAUUGCCCGCACCCAUUCAAAAGAUUUUGAAAGAGUGCAAUUUUUGGAGGC